rnacentral:rRNA from 1 species
UGCAGUCGAGCGGUAACAGAUCUAGCUUGCUGGAUGCUGACGAGCGGCGGACGGGUGAGUAAUGCAUAGGAAUCUGCCCGAUAGUGGGGGAUAACCUGGGGAAACCCAGGCUAAUACCGCAUACGUCCUACGGGAGAAAGGGGGCUCCGGCUCCCGCUAUGGGAUGAGCCUAUGUCGGAUUAGCUAGUUGGUGAGGUAACGGCUCACCAAGGCCACGAUCCGUAGCUGGUCUGAGAGGAUGAUCAGCCACAUCGGGACUGAGACACGGCCCGAACUCCUACGGGAGGCAGCAGUGGGGAAUAUUGGACAAUGGGGGAAACCCUGAUCCAGCCAUGCCGCGUGUGUGAAGAAGGCCCUCGGGUUGUAAAGCACUUUCAGCGAGGAAGAACGCCUAGCGGUUAAUACCCGCUAGGAAAGACAUCACUCGCAGAAGAAGCACCGGCUAACUCCGUGCCAGCAGCCGCGGUAAUACGGAGGGUGCAAGCGUUAAUCGGAAUUACUGGGCGUAAAGCGCGCGUAGGUGGCUUGAUAAGCCGGUUGUGAAAGCCCCGGGCUCAACCUGGGAACGGCAUCCGGAACUGUCAAGCUAGAGUGCAGGAGAGGAAGGUAGAAUUCCCGGUGUAGCGGUGAAAUGCGUAGAGAUCGGGAGGAAUACCAGUGGCGAAGGCGGCCUUCUGGACUGACACUGACACUGAGGUGCGAAAGCGUGGGUAGCAAACAGGAUUAGAUACCCUGGUAGUCCACGCCGUAAACGAUGUCGACCAGCCGUUGGGUGCCUAGCGCACUUUGUGGCGAAGUUAACGCGAUAAGUCGACCGCCUGGGGAGUACGGCCGCAAGGUUAAAACUCAAAUGAAUUGACGGGGGCCCGCACAAGCGGUGGAGCAUGUGGUUUAAUUCGAUGCAACGCGAAGAACCUUACCUACUC